AUUGAACGCUGGCGGCAGGCCUAACACAUGCAAGUCGAACGAGUGGAGGACGGGUGAGUAAUGCCUGGGAAUCUACCUUAUGGAGGGGGGUAACUACGGGAAACUGUAGCUAAUACCGCGUACCAUAGGAUGAGCCCAAGUGGGAUUAGGUAGUUGGUGAGGUAAAGGCUCACCAAGCCGACGAUCCCUAGCUGGUCUGAGAGGAUGACCAGCCACACUGGAACUGGGACACGGCCCAGACUCCUACGGGAGGCAGCAGUGGGGAAUAUUGCGCAAUGGGGGCAACCCUGACGCAGCCAUGCCGCGUGUAUGAAGAAGGCCUUAGGGUUGUAAAGUACUUUCAGCGGGGAGGCGUUACCCGCAGAAGAAGCACCGGCUAACUCCGUGCCAGCAGCCGCGGUAAUUC
rnacentral:rRNA from 1 species